rnacentral:rRNA from 1 species
CCCUUAGAUGUUCUGGGCCGCACGCGCGCUACACUGACGGAGGCAGCGAGCGUGUCCUUCGCCGGCAGGUGCGGGCAAUCUUGCGAGUCUCCGUCGUGCUGGGAUAGAUGGUUGCAAUUGUCGAUCUUGAACGAGGAAUUCCUAGUAAGCGCGAGUCAUCAGCUCGCGCUGAUUACGUCCCUGCCCUUUGUACACACCGCCCGUCGCUACUACAGAGUGCCCGUGUCCAAGAAACGGUCGGACCUGUGCGGCCUCUCCGGGCGACCGGAGGGCCGUUACGGGGAAGACCCUUUAUUUGACGCGGGUCGAUGAAGUAAAAGUCGUAACA